CAUUUAUUUAUUAUAAAUCAAAGUUUUAAUACAUAAAAUGUACAACUUUACAAAUUUAAGAAAUAGUAAUGGAAAAAUAGUGUUUAAAAUAUGAUUUUAUGUUUUUAAUGAGAUUAAAGAAAGAGAAACUUGAGUAGUCAAGUAUUGGACCCAAAUGUCAAAUAAUUUUAAUUGGGGAUUUUUAUAAAAUUAAGAAAGUUUGGCUAAAGGGCUUAUUUGAAAAGAAUUUUAGUAUUUUGGGUCCAAGUGUAAUUUUUAAAAAUAAAUAAAUAAAAAAAAAAUAAAAUAAAAUAAAAGGCUUCAGCCUUUCAUUUUACCCGAGCCCCUCUCUCUCUCUCCUCAGAAACCCUCUCUCUCUCUCUCCUCAGAAACUCUCUCUCUCUCUCUCUCUCUCUCUCUCUCUCCUCUGCGUAUUACUGUUGCCGACGACGCAGGAGUACUUUCCGGCCACCAUUUUUAGCCACGCGCCGGACCGUUGGAUUCAGAGGCCUCCGAACUAUCGACCAACGCGGGAAUCUAGAGCUCACUCGCCGAUUAAACGCCUCAACCACUCGAUUUAAGUUCGGCCACCCCGCGACUUCAAAGUUGCGAUUCGGCCACCUCGGGCAUCCGUUUGCCGAUCCGUCACCACCAUCGUGCUCCUCGUGUUGUGGGCUUCAAAACCCAAUAACUUGUUCCUACAUCUACCAUAGUUGGGUCGACGAGCCACCGCGAUCCACCGUAGAUCGACGGUCGAAACUUAGUGUUCGAGGUUCCGAAGUACGUUUUGAGUCUCAGAAAAUCAUCGUUUGACUUAUUGUGGAACCCGAUCAUUUUGGAUUUGUAUGGAUUUGAUUGAUUGACUCUUGGUGAGGAAUUUUAAAAUAAGCUAAGGACCUAAGGGCAAGAAGUCGGUUUUGACAACGAAAGGGUUUCACAGAGACUUGGUUUUAAAGAAUAAUCUUCAUCGGCUAUAUAAUUGUUUUCUAGUUAUCCAAUUUUUUUUAUGUCGAAAAACUUUCUAUUGAACAAACUUGUUGCUCAAUUUAGCAUCUAUUAUCAAGGUAUAACCAGUCAAUUGCAUCUGCUUAAAAAAAAAAAAAAAAAAAAAAAAAUUGACUGUAAGACAUGAAGAUCAAGGAUGUUUUCAUGAUGAUGGUCAUUUUCUCUUCUUACGUUAUGUGGUUUGUGUUCAAAAGUAUGGAUGAUGAGGAUUCGUUUGUAUUUUCGUAUACAUUCAUUGUAAUUUAUACUAUUGUUAUAGCUUAUUUCCUUUCUAUCUAUAUUGUAGUCCUCAUGUGAGGUGUUUACACAUCCUCGCCUUUUUAUAUAUGAUAAGGAUUACAAGAAGUCAGGAAUAAGUUUUGUUUUCGGGGUGAAAGUAAGUGUUGUGUAUAAAAUCUUAUGCUGUGAAAUGUUGUUCUGUUUAUUUGUAAUGGUAGUUAUUGUCUCCGAUUAUCAAAUUUUAGUUUGAAAUUUCGAGGACGAAAUUAUUUUAACGGGGGAAGGAUUGUAAUAUCCAACAUUUUCAUAAUACAUUUAUUUAUUAUAAAUCAAAGUUUUAAUACAUAAAAUGUACAACUUUACAAAUUUAAGAAAUAGUAAUGGAAAAAUAGUGUUUAAAAUAUGAUUUUAUGUUUUUAAUGAGAUUAAAGAAAGAGAAACUUGAGUAGUCAAGUAUUGGACCCAAAUGUCAAAUAAUUUUAAUUGGGGAUUUUUAUAAAAUUAAGAAAGUUUGGCUAAAGGGCUUAUUUGAAAAGAAUUUUAGUAUUUUGGGUCCAAGUGUAAUUUUUAAAAAUAAAUAAAUAAAAAAAAAAUAAAAUAAAAUAAAAGGCUUCAGCCUUUCAUUUUACCCGAGCCCCUCUCUCUCUCUCCUCAGAAACCCUCUCUCUCUCUCUCCUCAGAAACUCUCUCUCUCUCUCUCUCUCUCUCUCUCUCUCCUCUGCGUAUUACUGUUGCCGACGACGCAGGAGUACUUUCCGGCCACCAUUUUUAGCCACGCGCCGGACCGUUGGAUUCAGAGGCCUCCGAACUAUCGACCAACGCGGGAAUCUAGAGCUCACUCGCCGAUUAAACGCCUCAACCACUCGAUUUAAGUUCGGCCACCCCGCGACUUCAAAGUUGCGAUUCGGCCACCUCGGGCAUCCGUUUGCCGAUCCGUCACCACCAUCGUGCUCCUCGUGUUGUGGGCUUCAAAACCCAAUAACUUGUUCCUACAUCUACCAUAGUUGGGUCGACGAGCCACCGCGAUCCACCGUAGAUCGACGGUCGAAACUUAGUGUUCGAGGUUCCGAAGUACGUUUUGAGUCUCAGAAAAUCAUCGUUUGACUUAUUGUGGAACCCGAUCAUUUUGGAUUUGUAUGGAUUUGAUUGAUUGACUCUUGGUGAGGAAUUUUAAAAUAAGCUAAGGACCUAAGGGCAAGAAGUCGGUUUUGACAACGAAAGGGUUUCACAGAGACUUGGUUUUAAAGAAUAAUCUUCAUCGGCUAUAUAAUUGUUUUCUAGUUAUCCAAUUUUUUUUAUGUCGAAAAACUUUCUAUUGAACAAACUUGUUGCUCAAUUUAGCAUCUAUUAUCAAGGUAUAACCAGUCAAUUGCAUCUGCUUAAAAAAAAAAAAAAAAAAAAAAAAAUUGACUGUAAGACAUGAAGAUCAAGGAUGUUUUCAUGAUGAUGGUCAUUUUCUCUUCUUACGUUAUGUGGUUUGUGUUCAAAAGUAUGGAUGAUGAGGAUUCGUUUGUAUUUUCGUAUACAUUCAUUGUAAUUUAUACUAUUGUUAUAGCUUAUUUCCUUUCUAUCUAUAUUGUAGUCCUCAUGUGAGGUGUUUACACAUCCUCGCCUUUUUAUAUAUGAUAAGGAUUACAAGAAGUCAGGAAUAAGUUUUGUUUUCGGGGUGAAAGUAAGUGUUGUGUAUAAAAUCUUAUGCUGUGAAAUGUUGUUCUGUUUAUUUGUAAUGGUAGUUAUUGUCUCCGAUUAUCAAAUUUUAGUUUGAAAUUUCGAGGACGAAAUUAUUUUAACGGGGGAAGGAUUGUAAUAUCCAACAUUUUCAUAAUACAUUUAUUUAUUAUAAAUCAAAGUUUUAAUACAUAAAAUGUACAACUUUACAAAUUUAAGAAAUAGUAAUGGAAAAAUAGUGUUUAAAAUAUGAUUUUAUGUUUUUAAUGAGAUUAAAGAAAGAGAAACUUGAGUAGUCAAGUAUUGGACCCAAAUGUCAAAUAAUUUUAAUUGGGGAUUUUUAUAAAAUUAAGAAAGUUUGGCUAAAGGGCUUAUUUGAAAAGAAUUUUAGUAUUUUGGGUCCAAGUGUAAUUUUUAAAAAUAAAUAAAUAAAAAAAAAAUAAAAUAAAAUAAAAGGCUUCAGCCUUUCAUUUUACCCGAGCCCCUCUCUCUCUCUCCUCAGAAACCCUCUCUCUCUCUCUCCUCAGAAACUCUCUCUCUCUCUCUCUCUCUCUCUCUCUCUCCUCUGCGUAUUACUGUUGCCGACGACGCAGGAGUACUUUCCGGCCACCAUUUUUAGCCACGCGCCGGACCGUUGGAUUCAGAGGCCUCCGAACUAUCGACCAACGCGGGAAUCUAGAGCUCACUCGCCGAUUAAACGCCUCAACCACUCGAUUUAAGUUCGGCCACCCCGCGACUUCAAAGUUGCGAUUCGGCCACCUCGGGCAUCCGUUUGCCGAUCCGUCACCACCAUCGUGCUCCUCGUGUUGUGGGCUUCAAAACCCAAUAACUUGUUCCUACAUCUACCAUAGUUGGGUCGACGAGCCACCGCGAUCCACCGUAGAUCGACGGUCGAAACUUAGUGUUCGAGGUUCCGAAGUACGUUUUGAGUCUCAGAAAAUCAUCGUUUGACUUAUUGUGGAACCCGAUCAUUUUGGAUUUGUAUGGAUUUGAUUGAUUGACUCUUGGUGAGGAAUUUUAAAAUAAGCUAAGGACCUAAGGUGUGGCUUUAGCUGUUGAGCAACUUGUGGAGCACGGACUCAGUAGCAAUGCAAUAAUGGUUUUAGAGUUUUCAUAUGGCUGCCUUAAAUUUAAAGUAUUCAUACGUGUAAUAAUUUCUUCUAAUAAGUUUAUAUAAAAGUUUUAAAUUUUUCUGUA